GUGUUUGGAGAAGCUACAGAAGAAACGUGGAUGGGAUCAGAAUGUGCUGUGUACCAUCUCCUCCACUGCCUCUUCUGAUGUGGGUUCACUUGAUGCUUAAAACACCAGAUAAGGAAGUCAACGCUCACUCAGGACAUCUCUAAUUUUGCUGAAAUUUUGAGUUUACUUAAACUCAAGGUCUAAAUGUAAAGUCAAUUUCUUGACACCAAAUCUGCAACUCACAGUCCCACGAGACAUCAAAGUUCCUGUUGAGGUCAGUGCCAAUGCAGGUGGAGUUUUGGUUCCUGGAACGGUUUUUUCUCCACAUUCGAUCCUGCCAGAAGGGACAAGAGAGGUGUACCUACUUGCAGCUGUGUGAUGGCCAGAGGGUGACAGACGCUUUAGGCAUCUCCAUUGGACAAGCCAUUGGAUGACUUCUGACACCACAUCUAUUUGAGUUAUGCUGAACUUUAGCACAGCCUUGGAUUCAUGUUGCUACCCAGAACUUUGAACAGCUUUCUCCAGCAUGUACAUUAUUUAUGAAAAUUUGAAGUUUGUAUGUAAAAUAUUUCACCAAUAAAUCUUAUAUUGGUUAUAUGAUUAAACAAUAGUAUUUUGGGGUACAUUUAAUUAAAUAAAAUUAACUAUACCUAUUGCCCUUUCUUUUACAAUAAAAUACUAGCAUGUUUGAAAUCAUA